GAUGAACGCUAGCGGCAGGCUUAAUACAUGCAAGUCGUGGGGCAGCAUGAGUAGCAAUACUUGAUGGCGACCGGCAAACGGGUGAGGAACACGUACACAACCUUCCUUCAAGCGGGGAAUAGCCCAGAGAAAUCUGGAUUAAUACCCCAUAAUAUAUUUGAUAAGGCAUCUUAUUAAUAUUAAAGCUUCGGCACUUGAUGAUGGGUGUGCGGCUGAUUAGAUAGUUGGCGGGGUAACGGCCCACCAAGUCUACGAUCAGUAGCUGACGUGAGAGCAUGAUCAGCCACACGGGCACUGAGACACGGGCCCG
rnacentral:rRNA from 1 species